rnacentral:rRNA from 1 species
GUAGGUGGCAAGCGUUAUCCGGAAUUAUUGGGCGUAAAGCGCUCGCAGGCGGUCUUUUAAGUCUGAUGUGAAAGCCCACGGCUCAACCGUGGAGGGUCAUUGGAAACUGGGAGACUUGAGUGCAGAAGAGGAGAGUGGAAUUCCACGUGUAGCGGUGAAAUGCGUAGAGAUGUGGAGGAACACCAGUGGCGAAGGCGACUCUCUGGUCUGUAACUGACGCUGAGGAGCGAAAGCGUGGGGGGAGCGAACAGGAUUAGAUACCCUGGUAGUCCACGCCGUAAACGAUGAGUGCUAAGUGUUAGAGGGUUUCCCGCCCUUUAGUGCUGCAGCAAACGCAUUAAGCACUCCGCCUGGGAGUACGGUCGCAAGACUG